rnacentral:rRNA from 1 species
UCCGGCCGGACCUGACUGCUAUCGGAUUGAUACUAAGCCAUGCUAGUCUUUGUAGUAAUACAAGGCAUACGGCUCAGUAACGCGUAGUCAACCUACCCUAUGGACGGGGAUAAUCUCGGGAAACUGAGCAUAAUACCCGGUAGACCACUUCUCCUGGAAUGGUUAGUGGUUAAAAUGAUUCGUCGCCAUAGGAUGGGACUGCGGCCUAUCAGCUUGUUGGUGAGGUAAUGGCUCACCAAGGCGAUUACAGGUACGGGCUCUGAGAGGAGAGGCCCGGAGAUGGGUACUGAGACAAGGACCCAGGCCCUAUGGGGCGCAGCAGGCGAGAAAACUUUGCAAUGUGCGAAAGCACGACAAGGUUAAUCCGAGUGAUUUCUGCUAAAGGAAUCUUUUACCAGUUCUAAAAAUACUGGCGAAUAAGGGGUGGGCAAGUUCUGGUGUCAGCCGCCGCGGUAAAACCAGCACCUCAAGUGGUCAGGAGGAUUAUUGGGCCUAAAGCAUCCGUAGCCGGCUCUGUAAGUUUUCGGUUAAAUCUAUACGCUCAACGUAUAGGCCGCCGAAAAUACUGCACAGCUAGGGAAUGGGAGAGGUAGACGGUACUCGGUAGGAAGGGGUAAAAUCCUUUGAUCUAUCGAUGACCACCUGUGGCGAAGGCGGUCUACCAGAACAUGUUCGACGGUGAGGGAUGAAAGCUGGGGGAGCAAACCGGAUUAGAUACCCGGGUAGUCCCAGCUGUAAACGAUGCAGACUCGAUAAUGCAUUGGCACAUAGCCAGUGCAG